rnacentral:rRNA from 1 species
UGGCUCAGAAAGAACGCUGGCGGCGUGCUUAACACAUUCAAGUCAAGGGGGUCCGCAAGGACAACCGGCGAACGGGUGCGUAACACGUGAGCAAUCUGCCGAUGUCUGGGGGAUAGCCGGCCCAACGGCCGGGUAAUACCGCAUACGCUCUUUCAGGGGAGUCUUUGGAAGAGGAAACCUCCGGGGGACAUCGAGGAGCUCGCGGCCUAUCAGCUAGUUGGCGAGGUAACGGCUCACCAAGGCGAGGAAGAGGUAGCUGGUCUGAGAGGACGACCAGCCACACUGGGAUUGAUAUACGGCCCAAGAUCCUACGGGAGGCA